rnacentral:tRNA from 1 species
GCAGUGGUGGUCCAGUGAUAGAAUUCUCACCUUCCAUGGGGGAGACCCAGGUUCAAUUCCCGGCCAAUCCA